UGUUUAUUAACAUAAUUUUGUGCUUUGGAUAAUUAUAGCCAAGGGGGAAAAACUGAGAACUGCAAAAGUGCUACUGAUUAGUCAAACAGAAAUAUGAGAGAAAGAUGUGACUUCUAUCUAAACAGCAUCACUUCAGCUGUGAGUGUGGUAAUUAGAGGGAAGGAAGAGGAAGAUGGAAGUGGGGGGCCAUUCAGGAGGCUACUGCAGGAAUCCAGAUGAGUGAUGAAGGUGACUUGCUAUAAGUCAGGGUAAGUAAUAAGUGAUCAGACUUGGAGUACAUUUAAAAAGUAUAUCCAGGAGGACUUUCUGGUGGGUUAGAUGUGGAAAAGAGGAAUGCCAAUGUCUUUGAAGCUUUCAGUCCAAGCAAAGGAUGAGAUGAAGUAGACUGACAGACAAGCAGGUCUGGGUGGGGUGGUGAGAUCACCUUCACUCACGCUGAGCUUGCGGUGCCCGUUAGGCAAGUGGCUGUGUCAAGUAGGUGAGUGGAUAUAGAAGCCUGGAAUUGUAGUUUAGAGAUAACAAUCUGUAAGUUGGCAGCCUAGAGAUAGUAUUUAAAUCAAUAAAUUGGAUGAAAUCAUCUAGGAAUAAAUGUUGAUACAAAAGAUAAAAAGUCAAGGGGUACACCCUGGAUCUCUUCUAAAACUAAAGAUCUGGAGAAUUGGAGAAACCAGGAAAGGUGAGUGAGAAGGAGUGAUUUGUGAGGUAGUAGGAAAACCAAGACAGGAUGUAGCUAAGUGUAGAAAUUCCUGGGGGAGAGGCAUGGAAGAAGGAGGGUGUGUGUGUGUGUGUGUGUGUGUGUGUGUGUGUGUGUGUGGGUGUUAUGUAUGCUAUAUCAACUGUAUCAAAUAUAAGUUGUAGAAACUAAAUUGAGCACUGCAUUUAGCAACAUGGAGGUCAUUUGUGAUCUUGAGAAGCACAUAUAAAACAAAAAUAAUGAAGCACAGAUUAAAUGACUAGUGUGUGGUAGAGCCCCUGCAUGUGAGAACAACUUAAAGGACUUGUAAAAUGUUCAGAUUCCUGGAUCCUAUUCCCUACAGAAUUAGACCUAUAACUCUAGAAUGGUGCCUGGGAAGUCUUCUUUUAAAAAUGUGCCAUUUCACUUAGAUGACCAGCCAGAUAUUGAAUUCCCCACUGUAGGUGCUUCACAGUCAAGAGAAAAUAUUAAUCACACUCGGCAGUAGAAUGUUUUCUAAUGCAGAAAAGUUACAGUUGAAUGGGCAAAGAAAAGCUAGGAAACCUUAUUACUACCUCAUGAGCAAUGCAGCCAGUUGACCAUAAUAAAUAAGGAAAAGGAGCUCAUAUUUCUCUAAGAAGCUCAAAUUAGGGAGAGAGGAUUUGGGAAAAGGAUGUUGAAGCUGAAAGCGGCAAACUGCAAGUCCAGCUAAGUCUGUGUAAGGAAUGAAGAGUCACAGAGGGUAUCCGAACCUGAAUGGGACAUUAUGAAGUUGAUAUUUUGUGAACAUUAUGCAUGGUAGCAAUUUUAAGGAAAAGAAUUGGAAAAACAACCCAUUGUAAAGGUUACCUUUCAUCUCUAAUGUUGAUGUUACUCAGUUUUUUGUUUCUUUGUGGACCUCAGUUUUAGGAUUUUUACUAUCUUUCUGGCCACUGCCGCAUCUUUGCAGUUUCUGUCAUCACUCUCUUUUCUGCCAUUUUUUACACUUUUCUUGAAUAGUAAUUCUCAAACAAUAAGUGCUAAUGUUCCAAUAAGCCCACAUCUUUUUAUUAUUUUUAUGUCAUUGAGUAUAAAAUAUAUUUGUCAGACAGAACCCUGAGCAGAGUGGAUCUUGCAUUGGAAUAUAACAGAGAGAAAGUAAGAGGCAAAAGGAGGGUGAUGGUACAAUCUGUCAUCCAUGCAGGGACACUUUUGGGAGUAAGAAAGAGUGCCAUCAACAAUAACAUCAGGACAACAGGAAGGAACUGGAAUUAUUUAGGUGAAUUGGGACAUAUGGACACCUAGGAGCUACAUGCUUUAAAGCUAAGUUUAAUGCUAGAAAGAAUGCUCUGCUUAUGGAACUUAUGAGAACUUUGCCUUAUGAAUUUAUUGAGUGUAUCCUGGGCUGCAAAUAGCAUUACUUAAACAGCUGCUAAUGGGCAACAAGACAGGUAGUGCAGGAAAUGUGGAUACUUUCAGAUUAACUGUAAAAUAU